rnacentral:rRNA from 1 species
GUAGGGAAUAUUGCACAAUGGAGGAAACUCUGAUGCAGCGACGCCGCGUGAGUGAUGAAGGCCUUCGGGUCGUAAAGCUCUGUCGCAGGGGAAUAACACAAUGAAGGUACCCUGUAAGAAAGGAUCGGCUAACUUCGUGCCAGCAGCCGCGGUAAGACGAGGGAUCCUAGCGUUGUUCGGAAUCAUUGGGCGUAAAGCGGAUGUAGGUGGCUAUGUAAGUCAGAUGUGAAAGCCUGGGGCUCAACCCCAGAAGUGCAUUUGAUACUGCGUAGCUUGAGUGUCGGAGAGGUUACUAGAAUUGUUGGUGUAGUGGUGAAAUACGUAGAUAUCAACAGGAAUACCGGAGGCGAAGGCGGGUAACUGGCCGAACACUGACACUGAGAUCCGAAAGCGUGGGGAUCAAACAGGAUUAGAAACCCUAGUAGUCC